AGUGAACGCUGGCGGCGUGCUUAACACAUGCAAGUCGAACGAGAACGGAUUAUAGCUUGCUAUAAUUGUCAGCUAAGUGGCGCACGGGUGAGUAAUGUAUAGGUAAUAUGCCUCUUACUAAGGGAUAACAAUUGGAAACGAUUGCUAAUACCUUAUAUUCCUUUUUAUCAAAAGAUAAAAAGGGAAAGAUUUAUUGGUAAGAGAUUAGCCUGUAUUGUAUCAGUUAGUUGGUGGGGUAUGGCCUACCAAGACGAUAACGCAUAACUGGUUUGAGAGGAUGAUCAGUCACACUGGAACUGAGACACGGUCCAGACUCCUACGGGAGGCAGCAGUGGGGAAUAUUGCACAAUGGACGAAAGUCUGAUGCAGCAACGCCGCGUGGAGGAUGACACAUUUCGGUGCGUAAACUCCUUUUAUAUAAGAAGAUAAUGACGGUAUUAUAUGAAUAAGCACCGGCUAACUCCGUGCCAGCAGCCGCGGUAA
rnacentral:rRNA from 1 species